AUUGAACGCUAGCGGCAGGCCUAACACAUGCAAGUCGAACGAGUGGCGGACGGGUGAGUAAUAUCUGGGAACGUGCCCAGUAGCGGGGGAUAACUACUCGAAAGGGUAGCUUAUACCGUAUACUAUCGGAUGGGCCCAUAUGGGAUUAGCUAGUUGGUGGGGUAAAGGCUCACAUAGGCCACGAUCCGUAGCUGGUCUGAGAGGAUGACCAGACACACUGGAAAUGAUACACGGCCCAGACUCCUACGGGAGGCAGCAGUGGGGAAUAUUGCACAAUGGGCGAAAGCCUGAGGCAGCCAUGCCGCGUGUAUGAAGAAGGCGUUCGGGUUGUAAAGUACUUUAAGCGGGGAGGCGUUAUCCGCAGAAGAAGCACCGGCUAACUCCGUGCCAGCAGCCGCGGUAAUAC
rnacentral:rRNA from 1 species